rnacentral:lncRNA from 1 species
CUGACCAUGAUCAAAAGAUGGUUGUCCAAAAAUUCUCAAUGAAAGACCUAGGGAAAACAUCCUAUACUUUUGGAAUAAAGAUCUAUAGGGAUAGACCUAAGCAGAUGUUUGGCCUGUCACAAAAGUGAAGAAACCAGAUCUAGGGUUUCAGGGUUAGAUCUUGAAACUUUUUCAAGAUCAGGCAGUGGAAGACUAAAAUAAAUCAAAAUUUAUCUUAUAAAACUAAAGAAUCCC